rnacentral:rRNA from 1 species
AUGAACGCUGGCGGCGUGCCUAAUACCUGCAAGUCGAGCGAACAGACGAGGAGCUUGCUCCUCUGACGUUAGCGGCGGACGGGUGAGUAACACGUGGAUAACCUACCUAUAAGACUGGGAUAACUUCGGGAAACCGGAGCUAAUACCGGAUAAUAUAUUGAACCGCAUGGUUCAAUAGUGAAAGACGGUUUUGCUGUCACUUAUAGAUGGAUCCGCGCCGCAUUAGCUAGUUGGUAAGGUAACGGCUUUCCAAGGCGACGAUGCGUAGCCGACCUGAGUGGGUGAUCGGCCACACUGGAACUGAGACACGGUCCAGACUCCUACGGGAGGCAGCAGUAGGGAAUCUUCCGCAAUGGGCGAAAGCCUGACGGAGCAACGCCGCGUGAGUGAUGAAGGUCUUCGGAUCGUAAAACUCUGUUAUUAGGGAAGAACAAAUGUGUAAGUAACUAUGCACGUCUUGACGGUACCUAAUCAGAAAGCCACGGCUAACUACGUG